AUAAUUGUGUGGCGCUAACCCAUACAGAGCUGUGUUCGCCCUCAUUGUAAACAGAAGCACAGCAGCUAACGCUUUGAAGAAGGAAUGGAAACGCUGCUGCUACUGAGGGAGUUGGUCUUUCUCUGGCCAGACAGGUCGUGAAGCACAGACCACAGUCUCCAGCAGGAACCUAUCAGCAGGGGGGAAGAGGGAGGGACCUGAGCCCUAGGACCAUGCCCCAGGACUACCUGGCAUGAUGACUCCUUGCUGUCCCCAGUCCACCUGGCUGUGCUGCUGCUCCAGUUUCAACUGUUCUGCCUGCGGCUAUGGAACCCUGACCUCUUUACCAGACGUGCUACCUGUCCCAGACCUGCUGUUUUCCACUCUCUAGACACAGCAGGAGCGGUAGAGAUACUCUCAAUGAUCGGCUAUGAAAAGCCAACUGACAUUUACUCCUGAGAUGCUGACCUGUUGCACCCUCGACAACUACUGUGAUUAUUAUUAUUUGACCAUGCUGGUCAUUUAUGAACAUUUGAACAUCUUGGCCAUGUUCUGUUAUAAUCUCCACCCAGCACAGCCAGAAGAGGACUGGCUACCCCUCAUAGCCUGGUUCCUCUCUAGGUUUCUUCCUAGGUUCUGGCCUUUCUAGGGAGUUUUUCCUAGCCACCGUGCUUCUACACCUGCAUUUCUUACUGUUUGGGAUUUUAGGCUGGGUUUCUGUACAUGACUUUGAUAUAUCAGCUGAUGUACGAAGGGCUUUAUAAAUACAUUUGAUUUGAUGAUAACACUGACUUGAUGAAGACACACCAGCAAUUGCCCACCAUAGUCCUAUAUUAAUUUUGGCAGGUAUAAUCAUCAUUAUACUUAAUGUAAAAAGAACUAAUUCAUCUUCUAGAGACACACAAAGGGUUGUUAUGUGGAACAUCCCCUGGAUUCCUGUAAAAACAUACCCAUCCUUUCUUCCUCCCUCCUUCUAUGAUGUCAGUACAACAGAGACACAAGCCAGCCAUAACUCUGAUGAUCCAUUGUAUUCACAAUGGGACUCUGGGUGAAAUGUAAUGAAACCUGCCAUAGCUAAUAUAUAUGUAUGCAGUAUCUUAGUCAGUACAACUGCUGCCUGCCAGAAAUCACAUCCUAUCAUGACAACGAUAAGUACUGUGUAUACUACCAUAAGUUCCAUGUUAGAGUAUACAGUACAUACAGGUUUGAUUGAUCUGAGCCCAUGCAGUCUCUGCACUAGCACUUUGACAAGCAGUUGACAAGCUUUCUGUUAAAGGAAAGAUCGGAGUGUCUAUUUUUGGACUUCUAAAUAAAUGGCAUACCCAUUGAUUCUUGAUGUCUCACAAGCUUGGUAAAACUGUCGGAGCCAAAAUAUACUCCAUUCUUUGAAAUAUAUGUAAUUGUAAACACAUAUUUUAUAGCCUCAAAACAUGGCUAAAACUAUAGUUGUGAUGUCAUGGACGAUCAGUUCUUGCAUACUUAGCUCUGUCUAUGAAUUUGAGAGUGGUUCCAUUUCUUCAGCCCCAUCCCUCAGCCAUUUACCAAAUCAGUGACCGGGUGACCCCUUAGGCUUUGUUUAAAUAGCACAUUACCACCUUACAGUAAAUGUAUUGGUUUUGUACAAGAUGGGGCCUCAUUCCUAUACUGUAUGACUGGUUGCCUAUAUAUGGUCUAGUUAGUUGGCACCAUGCUGUGUCGGUGAGACUCAGUGGCAGUCAGUGGCAGUGAGUGGGUAAAAUCAGCGGGGAAGCCUGAAGAAAAUGCCAUAUUACAACCUGUUACUAAAGGCAGAGACAAUAAGAAGACACAGUGGCAGAAUAAAUUCAACCACACCUUUGUUUCAUCACAAAACCAGAGAGCAACAUCUGUCCGGUGAAGUCCACAAAGCAUAAUGCAUGUAACAAACAGUAACAUGACCUACAGCAUGGUCAAGCAAGGUAAUGUUUCCAUCAUUUUCAGACAGCUAAACAACUAUUUAUUUAGAACCACAGAGAGUUACCGCAAGUCGUAAAGAAAACAGGAGCUGCCUCCACUAUUCCAGCACCAUUUCAACUUCAAUAUUUCAGCAUCAUAAAAUGACCUCUGCUUAGUCUAAUAGAGUGACAACUAAAAUAUAUAAAAAACAAUUUAGUCCAAUCAACGUAAGUUAAAUAUGAUGUGGCUGUCCAUGUUUCUGAUUUGUGUGUGUGUGUGUGUCUGUGUGUG
ensembl:lncRNA